GGAAGGGUGUCCGAGCGGCUUAAGGAGCACGCCUGGAGAGCGUGUAUACUGGAAACAGUAUCGUGGGUUCAAAUCCCACCCCUUCCG
rnacentral:tRNA from 1 species